rnacentral:rRNA from 1 species
CCCUAUGGGGCGCAGCAGGCGGAAUGAUCAGUCAGUGGUGAAAUCCUACAGCUUAACUGUAGAACUGCCAUUGAUACUGUCGUUCUUGAGUACACUUGGAGUGGGCGGAAUGUGUCAUGUAGCGGUGAAAUGCUUAGAUAUGACACAGAACACCGAUCGCGAAGGCAGCUCACUAAGUUGUAACUGACGCUCAGGCACGAAAGCGUGGGGAUCAAACA